AAAUGUGUGGGCGAUCUGGCUGUGACUUCUGUUACCCUUUGAUUGCCAAGAUUGAUUCAGCUGACCAGGCUGGCUAAGCGAGUGUUUCCUUCUUCCCUCACUGCUCCACGUGUAUCCCUCUUGAGGCUGUGUGCUCCUUUUAAGAGGACCUUCCUCGACAUAGGACCCAUCUUUGGUUAAGAGUAUCUGAGUAGCUGUGCUCACUUGCUAGAACCUCCAAACAGGUGCUCAAGAACUACAUAAUAUAGCUGGGUAUGUUAGCCUAUGCAUGUAAUCCUAAUACUUGGGAGGCUGAGGCAGGAGGAUCACUAGUUUUGAGUCAGCCUAGGCUA
rnacentral:snRNA from 1 species